rnacentral:rRNA from 1 species
CCUCGGAAUGAAAAAUUUGGUGACUGAGUGGCGGACGGGUGAGUAACGCGUGGGUAACCUGCCUCAUACAGGGGGAUAACAGUUAGAAAUGACUGCUAAUACCGCAUAAGACCACAGCACCGCAUGGUGCAGGGGUAAAAACUCCGGUGGUAUGAGAUGGACCCGCGUCUGAUUAGGUAGUUGGUGGGGUAACGGCCUACCAAGCCGACGAUCAGUAGCCGACCUGAGAGGGUGACCGGCCACAUUGGGACUGAGACACGGCCCAAACUCCUACGGGAGGCAGCAGUGGGGAAUAUUGCACAAUGGGGGAAACCCUGAUGCAGCGACGCCGCGUGAGCGAUGAAGUAUUUCGGUAUGUAAAGCUCUAUCAGCAGGGAAGAAAAUGACGGUACCUGACUAAGAAGCACCGGCUAAAUACGUGCCAGCAGCCGCGGUAAUACGUAUGGUGCAAGCGUUAUCCGGAUUUACUGGGUGUAAAGGGAGCGUAGACGGAGUGGCAAGUCUGAUGUGAAAACCCGGGGCUCAACCCCGGGACUGCAUUGGAAACUGUCAAUCUAGAGUACCGGAGAGGUAAGCGGAAUUCCUAGUGUAGCGGUGAAAUGCGUAGAUAUUAGGAGGAACACCAGUGGCAAAGGCGGCUUACUGGACGGUAACUGACGUUGAGGCUCGAAAGCGUGGGGAGCAAACAGGAUUAGAUACCCUGGUAGUCCACGCCGUAAACGAUGACUACUAGGUGUCGGGCAGCAAAGCUGUUCGGUGCCGCAGCAAACGCAAUAAGUAGUCCACCUGGGGAGUACGUUCGCAAGAAUGAAACUCAAAGGAAUUGACGG